rnacentral:lncRNA from 1 species
UUGAGUUUCAAGUUUAAAAUAAGUUUGACGAUGUAAGUAUAUAGUAACAUCUUGAAUAGUUAUAAUUUUGUGUUAUCUUGUUUAACUUUAUGAAUUUUGUAUUACUUUUCUAAAUAUCAGUCUUAACGUGUGUGUUUGACUUUGAUUUCAGGUUAUGUUGUUGGCUUGUUGGAAUGUUGGAUUAUUGUGUUGGCUUAUUGGUAAUUGGUAAGAUCUUCAACUUAAGUUCAUUUUUUUCAUGUGAUCCAUGUGAAAUAAAAGGCUUACUAUCAUCUUAUUGCACGCAAAUGAUAUUAAGAAGAAGAUUGUGUAUUUGUGUAGACUAGCUAGUUGAUGCUCCUUUUCAUAUGUUGAUGCUCUUUUUCAGUUAUAUAUAUAAUAUGCUAUGUUAUCCAGGUGAUUAUGUUUUAUUCUUCGACAUUUACUGAUUGGAGAAUGGAGAAGGUCAUUAUGCUACAAAAAUAAUUUUUUUUUUCUUUUUAUUUUGUUUGCAGUUAGGUGAUGCAGUACAUUUAGUUUGUGGCCUUUCAAUUCAUUUUGGUGAUGCUCGGCUUAUGUUGACAGUUUGGUGAUGCUCAGUUUAUGUUAAUUUAGGGUUUAGUGAUGCAAAACAUUUUGGUGUUGUAAUUUGUUGUUUUUCCUCCAGUCAUGUUGGUUAUGAACUUUGUAACGUCGUAAUGGUUUGCUUUUUAUGAGAUUGUAAUAUUUUAAUUGGUGUGACGAUCUAGCUAGAUUAUUUGAUGUAUUUGACACUAUUUGAGGUGGUAUUUGGCAUUUUGGCCAUUUGGGAGGCUAUUUUUCAUUUAUUUCCUAUAAUCUGUUUUAUACCAGGAAUUCAGGAAAAAGCUGCAAACGAGCUCGAGCCU